GCCGUAGUGGCGGAAUUGGCAUACGCGCACGGUUCAGAACCGUGUCCCAGUAAUGGGGUAGAGGUUCAACUCCUCUCUGCGGCA
rnacentral:tRNA from 1 species